GUGCUCAUGGUAGGUUUCAAUUAAAAAUAUAAAGACCUCACUGAAAAGGUGAUACUUGAACAAAUUCAUGAGAAGGGUCACUUAUUGAACCAGUGGUGGAGCUGCAGUGGAUCCUGGAUCUUCCUGGCUCUACAGCCCAGAGUCUCACCUGUGUAGGGUUGUAUCGAGCUGCGAGGACAGUGCUGGGGAGGAAGGAUUCCUGCCCUCUUCAAGGACCCUCUAGCUGGACUCAGAAUCAAACUGAUACCAGUU